CGGACGGGCGAGUAACGCGUGGAAAACCUGCCGUAUACUGGGGGAUAACACUUAGAAAUAGGUGCUAAUACCGCAUAAGCGCACAGCUUCGCAUGAAGCGGUGUGAAAAACUCUGGUGGUAUACGAUGGUUCCGCGUCUGAUUAGCUAGUUGGUGGGGUAAUGGCCUACCAAGGCAACGAUCAGUAGCCGGCCUGAGAGGGUGAACGGCCACAUUGGGACUGAGACACGGCCCAAACUCCUACGGGAGGCAGCAG
rnacentral:rRNA from 1 species